CAGAGAAUGCAGACAGACUUGCUGGCUUAUCUACCUCUAACAACUGGCCCCAGACAGUAUGUGGACAGGGGAAGAGGGAAACAAGCGCUACACAGUAAGGGACGUCAUUUCUCUUUGAGGACAUGAGCCUCCAUCCUGUGGGUAAUUUGGUUUCUGAGGUUGGAAGGUGUUACCCUCAGGGGCUGCAAAGUCUGACAGAGAAAAGUCACUCACUCAAGGGACAAAGAAUAGACUUCCAUCCUCCCCCAGCCACCUCCAGUCUCUCCCUGCGUCCCUCGGAACUUUCAUCCACACGGUAAAGUGGCUCCAUUAGGAGCCAAGGAAGUUUUUCUAGGCAUCAGCUCACAGAAGCAGUGCAUGCAUGCAAAUGAGCACAUACAGUAGAAUUCAUGGUCAUGGUGGCCAAACACAAUGGCUUAGAGGGUGCACUGCCGACAACCACAGAAGACAGGCUCGACGGCUGCUACAGGACAAAAGCAAUAGUGGCUCCUGGGCAGAGAAACUGAUUGGAGGAAACAUGCAGCACCUCAAGGUGGAAGGCUCCCGAGUGCAAAGCUUCUCUGUCUGGUACCCACCAUGUGGACAGGGAGCCCACCCGCACAUUCACUGCCACAUCUGGCAGCCUGCUCCACUGAUGAGCAGAGGUCCUUACUAGAAAAUUCUCCCUUUCCUUCAACUCAAGCCUGCUUCCCUGCAGGUACCCUGGUACAUCCCCUGGACAGACAGAGGCGUCUACUCCCUCCUCUGUAAGAGUGUCUGAAGUCAAGUAACACACUUCCCUCUGUGCUGCCUCUCCUCCUGGUUAACCUUUAACCGCUCCUCCGCAGGUGUGGUUUCCACACUCAGCACCAUCCACUCGCCCACCACCGCGCCCUCCCUGGAGCCCUCCCUGUCUGGUCUGUCUUAAACCGCCCCUGAGGCAGAAGUGGCUCCCUGGAUGCGGUUUGACCUCACAGAGGAAAGCAGGGCUGGGACUGCAUCCUGCAUGCCUGCAGUGCAUGAUGUGUGAGACAGCUGACUCUUCCCACUGGUCCACAGAAAGCCUGUGGGUCCCCAAGUCCCCUUCAUAGUGACUUGCUUAGCCACGUGACCACAGCAGCAUGUGACAAGUGGGAAGGGCAGCCUCAAGGAUGUCCCUGGGGGAGAGUGCAAGGGAGGACCAGGAAUGCAGAUUCCUGGGACCCUGAGAAAAGCUGCUGUCCCACUCAGCUGCCUUAGAACACCUCAGAGAAUGCUGCCAGGAUGGGGGUUGGCUUGCGUGUUUGGAGACAAUGCGCGCAAUGCUCCCUGGUACACAGUGUUCCAACAUGCAGGAGGCCUGGAAUCAAGAUGCAGUCCCAGGGGCAGUUUCAGUGAAGAGACAGAAGCACUAGCUUUAAACUACAUUGUUCUCUAUCUCAGGGUAAUCUAAUUAAAAUGAACGGUCACCCAAGUGAAGGGGUCCUCAGCCAGGUGUCAACAGUCCCUGUGCCCCAGUUGUCACUGGAGAGUCACCUGCCAUGUGCUCCCUCACCGCUGAAAAAGAUCCACUCUCUGAAAAAGUGUCUCACCACAGGCCGACCUGUGAGAGUCAAACAACAGAACCAGUGGUUCUGAGACACGCUCUGAAUAAUUAAAGAGAAGGCAGGUGUCCGAGGACAGUUUCCAUUUUGCAGAUUGGGAAGGUAAGGGCACGGGUCAGCAUGCCCACUGAGGAGGGCUGGGCUCUGUGAGCACGCUGACCUUGGCACCGUGCUGCCGGUCUCCCCGGGAACUGCUGAGGACUGCAGAGCCAGGUCAUAACUGUUUCUGGUAAACAGGAAACUCACAGUGCCUGAGUAAGCGCCUGAGGAAGAACAUGGGCUGUGUUCCCCGGGGAAUGCACCGUCCUGUCCUGCUCUCCUGCUGGCAAACCGGGUCAUGUGGGAAACCGCAUCGGUUCCUCAGACAAGAACUGCGCUCUUUUUGGAAGCAUGAGCCUCCCACUCCUCUAACCCUAUGACCGCAGAAGACAGCAGGCACUCUUAUGUCAAGGUUAAGAAUUCCGGCUUUGGACCCAGUUGGUGGAUCUGCAAGCUCAAAUCAAAUCCCUGAGGACGGGGACUCUUUCUUACCAGACCCUUCGGGCACUCAACAACUACUUACUGAACUGGAAGGAACCAUCACCACCCAUACACCCAAGGACCAUUGUGAGAAUCAGACAGAAUGCACACAAACCAUCUGGGGCAUGGAUGACGGCUGAGUGAGGGCAGCCACUGUUUUGUUUCCAGAAGUUCACAGAAUCUGCAUUCCUGCAGAGUCUUGCUGGCGUGAAGCUUGGUCUCCAUUUUUCAAUUCCGAUGUUCCCACCAGCAAAGGAAUAAAGGGUCCAAUCCACGCCAAAGCUUUU